rnacentral:rRNA from 1 species
GUGGGGAAUCUUCCGCAAUGGACGAAAGUCUGACGGAGCAACGCCGCGUGAGUGAAGAAGGUUUUCGGAUCGUAAAGCUCUUUCGUUAGGGACGAACGUGCUCUUUGUGAAUAAUGAGGAGUAAUGACGGUACCUAAAUAAGAAGCCACGGCUAACUACGUGCCAGCAGCCGCGGUAAUACGUAGGUGGCAAGCGUUGUCCGGAAUUAUUGGGCGUAAAGCGCGAGCAGGCGGGAUAUCAAGUCUGUCUUAAAAGUGCGAGGCUCAACCUCGUGAGGGGACAGAAACUGGUAUUCUUGAGUGUCGGAGAGGAAAGUGGAAUUCCAAGUGUAGCGGUGAAAUGCGUAGAGAUUUGGAAGAACACCAGUGGCGAAGGCGACUUUCUGGACGAUGUCUGACGCUGAGGCGCGAAAGCUAGGGGAGCGAACGGGAUUAGAAACCCCAGUAGUCC